UUUUUUUGUGUGUGAUGUUAGAGCAUCAUUAUUGGUGGUAUCAUUAUUGGUGGUAUCAUUAUUGGUGGUAUCUUAACCAAAUUUUUAAGUUAAGAUUUGUGAAGAAAGAGCUUUUAUAUAAGAGUUUUUAGGCUUAUAUUUAAA
rnacentral:sRNA from 1 species